rnacentral:rRNA from 1 species
GGGGCUGGACGAAAUAGAUGAAAGCAAGAAGGAGCAACAGCGGCAGACAAGGAUGAAGAUGUUGAUGUCAUGGUUGCCACUGCUAUGCAGAGCAAGCAAUGGAACAGAUGCCCCCGUUCUAAGCCUCAGUGAAAGAGCUGAACUGGAGAAAGUGUUGGACCAAAUUUUCUUAAUGCUGGGA